UUUUUGGCUCAAAUGUGUAGCAGUGGCGCUU
rnacentral:piRNA from 1 species